GUGCCAGCCGCCGCGGUAAGACGUAGGGGGCGAGCGUUGUCCGGAAUCAUUGGGCGUAAAGGGCGCGUAGGCGGUGACGUAAGUCAGGCGUGAAAGGCAUCGGCUCAACCGACGCACAUAGCCUGAUACUACGUUGCUAGAGUGCAGGAGAGGAGAGUGGAAUUCCAGGUGUAGCGGUGAAAUGCGUAGAUAUCUGGAAGAACACCAGUGGCGAAGGCGGCUCUCUGGACUGUAACUGACGCUGAGGCGCGAAAGCUGGGGGAGCAAACAGGAUUAGAUACCCUGGUAGUCCCAGCCGUAAACGAUGAACACUAGGUGUAGGGGGUAUCGACCCCUCCUGUGCCGCAGUUAACGCAGUAAGUGUUCCGCCUGGGGAGUACGGCCGCAAGGCUGAAACUCAAAUAAAUUGACGG
rnacentral:rRNA from 1 species